rnacentral:rRNA from 1 species
UUUUGGACAAUGGGCGAAAGCCUGAUCCAGCCAUUCCGCGUGAGUGAAGAAGGCCUUCGGGUUGUAAAGCUCUUUCGCAAGGGAAGAAACGAUGCAGUCGAAUAAACUGUGUUAAUGACGGUACCUUGAUAAGAAGCACCGGCUAACUACGUGCCAGCAGCCGCGGUAAUACGUAGGGUGCAAGCGUUAAUCGGAAUUACUGGGCGUAAAGCGUGCGCAGGCGGUUUUGUAAGUCAGAUGUGAAAUCCCCGAGCUCAACUUGGGAACUGCGUUUGAAACUACAAGACUAGAAUAUGUCAGAGGGGGGUAGAAUUCCACGUGUAGCAGUGAAAUGCGUAGAGAUGUGGAGGAAUACCAAUGGCGAAGGCAGCCCCCUGGGAUAAUAUUGACGCUCAUGCACGAGA